CGGGAAGUGGCGCAGCCCGGCUAGCGCACCUGGUUUGGGACCAGGGGGUCGCAGGUUCGAAUCCUGUCUUCCCGA
rnacentral:tRNA from 1 species